UCCCUUCGAAAGCGCGGGGCUGAGGUCGC
rnacentral:piRNA from 1 species